rnacentral:rRNA from 1 species
UACGUAGGGGGCAAGCGUUGUCCGGAUUUAUUGGGCGUAAAGAGCUCGUAGGCGGCUUGGCAAGUCGGGUGUGAAAACUCCAGGCUCAACCUGGAGAUGCCACUCGAGACUGCUAUGGCUAGAGUCCGGUAGGGGACCACGGAAUUCCUGGUGUAGCGGUGAAAUGCGCAGAUAUCAGGAGGAACACCGGUGGCGAAGGCGGGUCUCUGGGCAGUAACUGACGCUGAGGAGCGAAAGCGUGGGGAGCGAACAGG